rnacentral:rRNA from 1 species
UGGGAAUAUUGGACAAUGGGCGCAAGCCUGAUCCAGCCAUGCCGCGUGAGUGAUGAAGGCCCCUAGGGUUGNAAAGCUCUUUCAGCGAGGAGGAUAAUGACGUUACUCGCAGAAGAAGCCCCGGCUAACUUCGUGCCAGCAGCCGCGGUAAUACGAAGGGGGCUAGCGUUGUUCGGAAUCACUGGGCGUAAAGCGCACGUAGGCGGACUUUUAAGUCAGGGGUGAAAUCCCGGGGCUCAACCUCGGAACUGCCUUUGAUACUGGAAGUCUGGAGUCCGAGAGAGGUGAGUGGAACUCCGAGUGUAGAGGUGAAAUUCGUAGAUAUUCGGAAGAACACCAGUGGCGAAAGCGGCUCACUGGCUCGGUACUGACGCUGAGGUGCGAAAAGCGUGGGGAGCAAAACAGGAUUAGAUACCCUGGUAGUCCACGCCGUAAAACGAUGGAAGCUAGCCGUCAGGGUGCAUGCAUCUUGGUGGCGCAGUUAACGCAUUAAGCUUCCCGCCUGGGGAGUACGGUCGCAAGAUUAAAACUCAAAGGAAUUGACGGGGUC